rnacentral:ncRNA from 2 species
UAGUAUAUAUGUAUCGUCGGUUCUUGUGGAAAACUGCCACCAGAGGUAACGGGGAAAGUUCGGUGCAAAUCCGGCACUGUCCCGCAGCUGUGAGCAAGAAUUUUCUUGUAAGUCAGAAUGCCCGCCGACAAAUAGGUAAGUUC